UUUUCCAACAGGUGCGACCCCACAUUUGGGUUGACAAAUAGAUGUGCAUGUAGUUAUACUGACAACUCUACUUGGUUACCCCGGGUAAUUACACUUAAUGUCAACAAAGGCAUAUUUUCAUAGUGAAUAGGCCACAUCACACGUAUACUGGUUGAACAACCUGAUGAAAUAAAACAAAUAAGACUGCACACGUGGCGUGUUACUGUGCUGCACUCAAAUUCACUAUAUAAAGCCGUACUCGUUACACUGAAAAAGCAUCACUGUCAACCAGACAAAUCUACAUCAACCAACGUCAAAAAAUGUUCCAGAAACUCUUCAUCUUUGCCUUUGUUUUGGCUAUGAUGGCCAUCGUUUACACCAACAGUCUGCCUACCGGUGAAGAUGCUGGAGAGACUGAUCAAACGUUUUGCAGACCCUUUUG